rnacentral:rRNA from 1 species
GAUGAACGCUGGCGGCGUGCCUAAUACAUGCAAGUCGAGCGAACAGACGAGGAGCUUGCUCCUCUGACGUUAGCGGCGGACGGGUGAGUAACACGUGGAUAACCUACCUAUAAGACUGGGAUAACUUCGGGAAACCGGAGCUAAUACCGGAUAAUAUAUUGAACCGCAGGGUUCAAUAGUGAAAGACGGUUUUGCUGUCACUUAUAGGUGGAUCCGCGCCGCAUUAGCUAGUUGGUAAGGUAACGGCUUACCAAGGCAACGAUGCGUAGCCGACCUGAGAGGGUGAUCGGCCACACUGGAACUGAGACACGGUCCAGACUCCUACGGGAGGCAGCAGUAGGGAAUCUUCCGCAAUGGGCGAAAGCCUGACGGAGCAACGCCGCGUGAGUGAUGAAGGUCUUCGGAUCGUAAAACUCUGUUAUUAGGGAAGAACAAAUGUGUAAGUAACUAUGCACGUCUUGACGGUACCUAAUCAGAAAGCCACGGCUAACUACGUG